GAGGCUCCGAGAUCAUCAAAUACAUCAAUCUACCAUACCAAGCAUGGCAAGAAUCCAUUCUAGGACAUAUUUGUGGAUUCUAUUGGAGGUUUUAAAAGGUUGCUGUGAUCCAGUCAUCUGAAUUCAGUUUAGCACAUCUUUCUGGCUGUUACCUCAUGGAGCUGUAGGUGAAUACUAGUUCCCUCAUCCAUUUCAGUGGUGCCAGUAAUGCUGGACAUCUUGCUGAAAUUGCAAACCUCCUUUCUGACUCUGACAGCAUACCUUUUAUCCAUAUGCUUGCCAGAACACACACAAUGGGUCUAUCAGCUCUUGAGAUAGUGUAAAGCUGCCUUAUUGCCACUAGUUCAUGUACAAGAAGUUCUUCUUUCACAGCAAGAUAUUCAGUAUGCUUUGGAAAGGUUGAAAUUACUUUGCCUGCUGGCACCUUCCGGGUUGCAAAUUGCAGUUGCAGUGUGGCCACCCACCUGAAGGAGGAAAAGAAAGGAAGAAAAGGACCCAGGGGGAUGAGGUAUGGGAUCCCAGGUAACAAACCCAAGGUCUCAACAGUAAGAUAAAUCUUCUCGUGCCAGCUGGAAAUGACGAACGUAGGACCUCCUAGGAGAAUGAGACAAGAAUGCCCUCACCAGUACACGUAAAGAAAAGUGAAGAAUUUCCCAAGAAAUUCCAACGCCAGAAGUAGUGGAAGACGGGUAGCAUUUCUCUUGAAAUGCAGUUGAGACCAAAAACUCUUCAUAAGAACUAGCCAUUAUGUCACAAACCCAUCUGUGGUGUCACACAGCAGCAUACUCUUACAAAAGGGAAAAUAUUUUGUGUAAAAGCAGAUUAAUCAUUGUUAAACAUAAUUGUAAAGUAAACUUUGCAAGUUACCACAAGGAAGGGGUUCAGAGGCUUGAAAAAACACACUGCUGUCAACUGCAUUCAUUGUUGUUCUCAAUAAAGUCAAGCAAAUAGACCAAGUUCUUAUAGUCUGGACUGACUUGGGUCCCAACUCUCAUCACAGCACCAGUGAGCAUACCAACAAGUAGUGAAGUGGCAACUCUGGGAGGGGAAAGUGAAUGCAGAGGGGCUCCCAAGAUCUGAAUGGGAACACUUGUUCAUACACAAACAAACCUUUGGUCUUAACAGUAGGAUAAUUUCUAGCGCCUAGCUGGAUCAAGUUAAAUUGCAGAUGAAAGCAAGGAAUGUUGUGAGAUCUGGCAACGCGUGUGUAUAUCGGGUGAAGAGCUGUCAAAUACAACGCAUCUACGCCACCGUGUCAGUCUUUUCUUAAGCGCCUGGGCGAGAGUUGUGGUUGACCUCUCUCAGCCUUUACCCGGUUCAUUGCCCGUUUCGCUUGUGUUUUAGUGUGUGUGUAUGCCGUUAUGAUGGCUUAUUCUGCUCCAUCCCGGCCUCGUCAACGUAUGUGCCCGGAACUCCAGGCUUUCCAUGUUCUGGUUUUUUGGCUUCGGCUGUAACUGAUCCCCACGACACUUGUAGUAGGUGUCGCUCUAAUGUUUGUACAAUAACGAAUCCCUGCACGGAAUGCCAUGCGUGGCCUAGAGAUCAGUGGAGGUUAUUUUAUAGUAGAGGGAGCAUUGUAGGGUUUCUACUCUCCCUUCGUGGGAGGGGUUUGUCUUCUCCUCUUCCCGAUGCUUCAUCACCUGCUGCUGUAACACCCCAUACACCCCUUCCUUUUCUUCCAUCAAUUCGUUGUUGGAAGUAUCAGGAGGCCCUCAGGCUGAUUUAUGUAAUGUAGCCCAUUCAUCUUUGGGAGUUAAUUUGAUUCCCGAGAGGGAGGAGCCUUUUUCAUCAUUGUCUUUUUUGCAGAGUCGGAGGCGUCCAAAAUGGCGGCGCUUUGGGGGACGCUUGGGCUAUGGGGUUCACUGUCCUUGGAGAGUUUGCUGACACACUUCAUGGAUCCUCAAUACCCCCACCUCAUGCUGUCCAGGCCUUCCCCCCUCUCCUGGCCUCCUCUUCGUGGGUAGCCAAGGUCAGCCAUUUUGUAUUGCUCCGCCAGUGACAAUUGCUGCUUCUUCAAGUCAGAGGGAAGACCGUGGUGUCGGCUCCGCUAGUGACGUCACGGGGUCAGUCAUUUUGUAUCCCUCCACCAGUGUGUCUGCUUCCCGUUUGGAUCGAGGGGAAGCCGUGACGUCUCUUCCAUUGAUGAGUCGCUCCCAGUCGUCUCCACUGCGCUGCCUCACUCAGUUUGCUGCCGUGAUGUCAUCUCUGCCAUCCAGUUUGCUGCAUCUCCCUUCCCUGUCAUCAGACCCUUCUCUUGCUGAUCUGUCUGAAGCUUUAUGCCAGGCUGGUUCUUAAGAGAUUGGAGUCUUUUAGAAAAUAAGUUGGCUGCCGUGUUGGCUGAGAGGACUGGAAGCAAGCGUGUUGCAUCGCCCUUUCCUCCUGUGAAGAGAUUGUGUAAGGAGCCAAUGCUGUCUUCCUCUCCCUCUUCCCCAUCGCCGUUUCGACAUAUCAAGCGUUGGAAGGUUCUUCCAAGGACUUUGCCCUCUCUUUGUCUGUGAGUGAGGAGCAACAUGCCUGUGUUCCUUUGUGUGUUGGUGUUGUGUAGAGUGUUAGUGUAUCUUCACCUGUUCAAUCUGCAGAGGCUGCUUCGUCCUCUGCAUCGAGUAGCAAGCAUGUUGCAACCUCCCUCGUUCGUGUACGUGUUGCAGGCGCUCCCACUUCUUCUCCAGGGCCUAUUUGUCGCCGUAAGGAUCUCAAGGCACCUGUCAAGAGGUUGAAGGUUGUGAGUGUGGAGUUGGUGCAGCAAGAGUGUUUGCCUGCCCCUCUCCCUGGUACUUCUAGGAGUUUGACUCCGAGGGAUUCUGAUUAUAUCUCAAGUGUUCGGGAUUCUUCACCGGCACAUGUUCGUAGGUCUGGCACGCCCGUGCCCAUUCACGGCCAUGUGAGAGUCAUAUCUGUUGGGAGAUGUGCGUAGUGAUGUCCCUAGUGUUGUGAGUGGUUUGUUGCAGGAGUUGGUGCUUGAAUCUAGCCAAGACAGGUUAGUUGGUGUUUCAGGCUGUUUGGCUGCUGGUUCUUCCAUUAAUUUAAACGAGGAAGGCGUCAGUCUCCAUUGCUGGAGCAGGAGGAGGGAGGCACACGAGUUUUUGUCUUCCUUUACAGAAGUUGUCGGCCUCAUUCGUGUAUUCAACAAUUUUGAGAGUAGCACUCGGGCUCAGUCAUCUUACAUUCCUUCCUGCUUGGGAGCCUUGCUGGGAGCUACGCAGGAUCUGAAGUCAUCGUUUCAACUUCCCUUGUUGGGGCAUGUCCAAUCAGUCUUGCAUAAGGCCCCCAGUCAGUCUUGCAUAAGGUUAACGCCUCUGUUUCAGAUCGGGACGGUUCGCUUUGCUCAAGGGGCUCUGCCAAGCUGCUACCCCCACCUCUCACAAGGUAUAGGAAGUACUAUGCUACGAACUCUGCUUUUUUGAUGUCGCGUCAUCUUAACCUGGACAUCAUUUAACUGAAGCCGGGAUGAUUUUGGAGCAGGUGAGGUCGGUGGCUCCAUCCUCUUCUCCACAGGAUGCCUCAGCGUUGGAGUCUACGGCAGCCUCCAUGUUGCAGACGGUUUCUUGGCUGGAUUUCUGGUCUACGGUCAUUGCCAAGAUAGCUUCUGACAGGUCCCCAGAGGGGUUGGCGAGUGCUUCUCCUCUUGCCAGUUUAUUGCAGUCAGGAGGAGAGGCAUUUUCGUAUGUGGCUCACCUCAUUGUUAAUUUAUGGGCUAACCUUCUCUUGGUUAAAAGAGACUUGGCUUUAUUCAAAAUUGAAAGGUCGGUUGACCCCGAGUCUUUGCUGGCAUUGAGGAAUGGAGAUCUGUUGGAGUCUUAAUUUCUGUUCCCUCGGACCAAGCUGGAGGAUGCAAUAGACCGGCGCCAGGCUGACACCAAGGACAGAUUGGCAUACUAGGC